AAACCAAUCCAGCGUGCUGGGUCUUGGGCUUUCGCCUCUGGGCGGGCCUCAAAGUCAGUGGCGGUGCCGCCAGGCUCUAAGCGUAGUAAUUCUUCUCGCUACAGGGUCCUGGUGGAGGCUUGCCAACAACCCUAAAUAUUUCAAA
rnacentral:misc_RNA from 1 species